rnacentral:rRNA from 1 species
GAUGAACGCUGGCGGCGUGCCUAAUACAUGCAAGUCGAGCGAACAGACGAGGAGCUUGCUCCUCUGACGUUAGCGGCGGACGGGUGAGUAACACGUGGAUAACCUACCUAUAAGACUGGGAUAACUUCGGGAAACCGGAGCUAAUACCGGAUAAUAUAUUGAACCGCAUGGUUCAAUAGUGAAAGACGGUUUUGCUGUCACUUAUAGAUGGAUCCGCGCCGCAUUAGCUAGUUGGUAAGGUAACGGCUUACCAAGGCUACGAUGCGUAGCCGACCUGAGAGGGUGAUCGGCCACACUGGAACUGAGACAGGGUCCAGACUCCUACGGGAGGCAGCAGUAGGGAAUCUUCCGCAAUGGGCGAAAGCCUGACGGAGCAACGCCGCGUGAGUGAUGAAGGUCUUCGGAUCGUAAAACUCUGUUAUUAGGGGAGAACAAAUGUGUAAGUAACUAUGCACGUCUUGACGGUACCUAAUCAGAAAGCCACGGCUAACUACGUG